AGCAUAUCAAUAAGCGGAGGAAAAGAAACCAACAGGGAUUGCCUCAGUAACGGCGAGUGAAGCGGCAACAGCUCAAAUUUGAAAUCUGGCUUCCUUUGGGUGCCCGAAUUGUAAUUUGUAGAGGGCUUCUCGGGUGCGACACCGGUCUAAGUUCCUUGGAACAGGGCGUCAUAGAGGGUGAGAAUCCCGUACGUGACCGGCCGUCAAUCCCAUGUGAGAUCCCUUCGAAGAGUCGAGUUGUUUGGGAAUGCAGCUCAAAUCGGGUGGUAAAUUUCAUCUAAAGCUAAAUAUUGGCCAGAGACCGAUAGCGCACAAGUAGAGUGAUCGAAAGAUGAAAAGCACUUUGGAAAGAGAGUUAAAAAGUAUGUGAAAUUGUUGAAAGGGAAGUGCUUGCAGCCAGACUCGCUCACGGGUGAUCAACCUUCCUUCGGGGCGGUGCACUCUCCCGCGAUCGGGCCAGCAUCGGUUUGGGCGGCCGGACAAAGGCCCCGGGAAUGUGGCUCUCUUCGGGGAGUGUUAUAGCCCGGGGUGCAAUGCGGCCAGCCGGGACCGAGGACCGCGCUUUUGCUAGGAUGCUGGCGUAAUGGCUGUCAGCGACCCGU
rnacentral:rRNA from 1 species